AUGUUGAUGUUGGGGAGAUUUCCUAUUAUGGUGCACCGGCUGCAACUCCCAAGAAACAACUAUAUACAGAGCUUGUAGAUGGAUUGAGGGGAAGUGAUCCAUGCAUUGGUUCUGGUUCCCAGGUUGCAAGCCAAGAGACUUAUGGAACCUUGGGUGCUAUUGUUAGAAGCCGAACUGGAAAUCGACAGGUUGGUUUCCUCACUAAUCGACAUGUGGCUGUUGAUUUAGAUUAUCCAAACCAGAAAAUGUUUCAUCCUUUACCACCAAGCCUUGGACCUGGGGUAUAUUUGGGAGCUGUGGAGAGGGCAACAUCUUUUAUCACAGAUGAUCUUUGGUAUGGAAUCUUUGCUGGAACAAACGCAGACAUAACGAGGAAAAUCAGAGGAAACAGAAACACAGAAAAAUAGCAAAAAGUAUAAGUGAUCUCUAAAUUAGAGGAACAACCUCAUCAAAUUUUGUUCAUCGAAGAAGGUGUAGAGGAGAAUAAUACUGAUACUGGUGAAGGAACUGGUGAUGAUGAAUGCAUCUCUAUUAUUAAUGAACGAAACAUAGAAAAUGUAGGUUCUUUGCACUUGCAAGAUCAGGAUGAGUGGACAUUAGAUUGUGCUGAGGUAGGGGAGCUAGAGGACAGAGCACAUUAUCACCAGGGCGGUGAAAGAAGUGUACUUGAAACUUAAGAUACAAAUGACGAGUGUCUCUUCACACAUUAAGCGAAAGACCGAAAGGAAUGAAAAAUUUUCAAGUGGAAAAUAGUCAAUUGCCCUCGUCAAACAUCGUCAGUAGAGUGCGGCUUUUAUAUCAUAAGGAUGAUGAAAGACUAUUUCUUGAAUGAGAUACACAUGCGAUGGCUAACUAGUAAUUGUGGUGGGAAUAAUACAUAUACACUAGGCGAAAUUAAUGAAACUCGAAAUGAAUGGGCAGCCAAGCUUCUUGAGCGGAUGAGUCAUAGCUAGAGUAAUUUUUUAAAUCUGAAUUAAAAAAUAUACUAAUUGCAGUAUUUAGUUAGCACUUACAUAGUUAUUCUAAGUGUAUAUUUUGAUUUUGUAAUUUUUAAAUUUGGAACAUACCGAGUCCUAUUGAUUUAAUCUGCCUAUUGAUUUUUUCUGAACUAUGUUGUAGUUACAGAAAUUAUAAAUGAAUAUAGUGGUUGAAAAUAAAGAAAUGAAAAAAUUCUCAUAUUCUA